AUUGAACGCUGGCGGCAGGCCUAACACAUGCAAGUCGAGCGGCAGCGGAAAGUAGCUUGCUACUUUGCCGGCGAGCGGCGGACGGGUGAGUAAUGUCUGGGAAACUGCCUGAUGGAGGGGGAUAACUACUGGAAACGGUAGCUAAUACCGCAUAACGUCGCAAGACCAAAGAGGGGGACCUUCGGGCCUCUUGCCAUCAGAUGUGCCCAGAUGGGAUUAGCUAGUAGGUGGGGUAACGGCUCACCUAGGCGACGAUCCCUAGCUGGUCUGAGAGGAUGACCAGCCACACUGGAACUGAGACACGGUCCAGACUCCUACGGGAGGCAGCAGUGGGGAAUAUUGCACAAUGGGCGCAAGCCUGAUGCAGCCAUGCCGCGUGUAUGAAGAAGGCCUUCGGGUUGUAAAGUACUUUCAGCGGGGAGGAAGGUGUUGAGGUUAAUAACCUCAGCAAUUGACGUUACCCGCAGAAGAAGCACCGGCUAACUCCGUGCCAGCAGCCGCCGCCG
rnacentral:rRNA from 1 species